GUAAUGUUGUGUGUGUGUGUGUGUGUGUAUGUUGAGUUUGGAUCAUCAUCAUCAUGAUCAUUAGAAAUAAAAAACCAUUCGUGUAUUGCUAUCCAUUCAACCGUUCAGAAUCCUUCAUCAUACAUCUAAUUUGAUUUUUUAUUUGUUUUGGUUUCAAACCAAACACACACACACACACACAUUCAAGAAUCAUCAAUACAAAACAGCUGCUGCUAUGUGUUUGGAUUUUGGAAUUGAAUUCUACGAUGAUUCUACAAUUUGAGUGAUUCAUCAAUGAAUGAAUGAAUGAAUGAAUAACAGGAAAAAUCAUUGCAUCUAAUUAUACAAAUAAUUUUUUUUUUCUGUCGGUGUUUUUUCUUUCAUUAUUAUUAUUUUUUUUUAUUGUCAUUGUUGUUGUUAAUAAUUUCCAUAGUGUCGAUGUCCACUAAUAUAAUAUCAUCAUUCUGAUUGUCUGAUCUCAUAAUCAUCAUCAUCGUCAUCAUCAUUAUCACUUAAUUAUCAAUUAUUAACUCAAUGGUGAAAUUGAAAACCGGAUCUGAAUUGUUUCAAUGAGAAGGAGAAAAACAUCAAUACACAAACAUCCUUGCAUUUUUGAUAUUAAAAAGCAACGGAAUUUUUCGUUUCACUUUUUUUUUAUCACAAGAAAUUCCAUCCAUCCAUGCAUUUUUUUUUUCAUUUCGAAUUUGUCGUUUCCUAUGUCGUCAACGAUAUUGUGACCGUGUGUGUGUGUGUGUGUGUGUGUUGUGAAAAUUGUUGCUGUUGUUGUGGGUGGUUGAAAUUUAUUUUGUACAUUCAUUUCUCAUAUAUCGUCAUUGUCAUUCGAUAUGUUGCAUUAUAAUAAUAAUAAUA